rnacentral:rRNA from 1 species
AUGGCGGGUUUGCCCAGGAAACUCAUGGGUCUGCUGCUCCCCCUAUUCUUCGCCUUCUGUGUCGUUUGGGAGUUUGUCAUUCCGCUCACCACCCUCUGGACAUGGCGUCUUGCGCUCGCCACGACCUUUGCUCAAGUGCACCAUCUACUCUCCCUACGCCUAUCUGUGACCUGCAUCCCUGCUUCAAUUGCGCUCUGGGCUACAUUUGUCCUAGCGAUAUUGGCUGUUGAAGUUUCCUUGGCGGUGGUAAUAGUUGACAUGGCCCUUGCUUGUAUAUUUUGUUUUGUCCCAUUUUCAUUGGGAAGGAUAAUUCUAUGGUCAACAUCAUGUCUCAGCUUUGGCAAUGUGGAUGAAGUCAAUUCUUACACUUCAACAACUUCUACCCUUCUAAUUGGAUAUGAACUUAUCUUUAAGGUGGGUGCAAGUUUUGCUGUGGUGCAUACUUAUCCGUACUUGAGGGGCGAGCGCCUUGUGGUCACAAUUUUCUUUAGAAGAUUGUAUGGUAUAUUCUUCAGAGGGAUCAUAAAAUUAACCAGAGUUGCCAAUAUUUCUCUUAAUAUCCUAUACAACGUGAUAAUAUACCCAUUGUUCUUCGGCUGGUCGCUUGAUAUCUGCACUUCAAAAAUGUUUGGUGCAACAAUGUCCCAGAGGUUUAAUUUUCUGAUUGCUUCAUCCUUUGCUUCUGCUGCCCUACAUUGGCUUAUUGGACGUUCCUUUUUGAAAAUACGCCCCAGAUUAUUCAGACUUCUUCACAAGAUAUUCGGGCCAGGAGUUGUCACUCCCUUUCUCCACUAUAACUUCUCCGAACCAUUCUACAAAUUUUAUUUAAAGAACCUUCUUGGUCUUUUUGUGGACACUUUCUUUGUUGCUCUGGUCAUUCUUGUCCCUAUCAAAAUUGCUGACCUUUUGGCACCAGAGGUGUUCCCACUAGAUAUCACCUACUUUGAUCAUCCUGCUAAGGGCACAUCAGUUUGGCAAGGGCCACUACUAAACUUUGCAGAGUUACUUUCUGCUGUUCAUCACAUGACGUAUCUCAUUGGCAAAACAGUCAUCUACCUUGGGCGUGUAAUGGAGAGGGUAGUGGGGUACUGA